UGUUUGUAUUUAUGGUCUUUAUUUUUCAUAUCGGUAAUUACCUUUUAUGGCCCCGGCUUAAAGGCAGCCCAGCCGGCUCCAGGGCCUCCCCGUGAUCCCAAAGCCAAGUGCAGGCCUCCCCACCUUCCGCCGUUUUUCCCUCUUUUACACAAGAUUCUUCGGUGUUGCAAAAGAGCUUUGGGAGAUUUGGGUUUUGUGGUUAAGAUUCUCACACUGGCGCACGAGGACAAUUAUGUGGCAGCUUUCAUUUGGCCCCUAGGAUUCUUACUACAUUAUCCGUACUUCCUUUAAUUUGUGGGAUUUCUAGUAAAUGGGCUUAAAAAUAGGUCUGGGCAUGCCGCCAGGGCAGAUGCGGGCAGCCGGCAUCUCUGCAUCCCUGUCUCAUGGCAGAGUGGGGUCACCCUGUGUCCCUCGGCCCUGUGCCUCCUGCAGGUCCCCCGAGGCGGCUCCCCGUGCGCCCUGAGGAGGGGACAGGGUGCGGCCCCUCUCUGCUGGUCAGGACAUCGGGGUGGGUCUUGGCUGCAAUUGAGUUAGGGUGGAGGGGUUGGGGUCCUUUUGACGGCGAGGUAGGGACUCUGACGGAGGCCAGGCCGACUAGAGGGCUGGGGAAGCCGGGUGACAUGCUCAUGGGCCACACGGAUACACACACAGGCCCAACAGUCCCCAUGUAGCCAGCAGCCCUGCCCAAGGCAGGCUGUCCCGUCCUUGUCAUGGUGGAGAGGACCAAGGCCAGCCGUAUGCAGGGUGUCCCCGUGGCCGGCUGGAAGUCCCGGCCCUGCGGCCUGCUCAGGUUCCUUGCUGGGCCUGCUGACCUGGA
rnacentral:lncRNA from 1 species